rnacentral:rRNA from 1 species
UGGGGAAUCUUCCGCAAUGGACGAAAGUCUGACGGAGCAACGCCGCGUGAGUGAAGACGGCCUUCGGGUUGUAAAGCUCUGUGAUUCGGGACGAAAGGCCAUAUGUGAAUAAUAUAUGGAAAUGACGGUACCGAAAAAGCAAGCCACGGCUAACUACGUGCCAGCAGCCGCGGUAAUACGUAGGUGGCAAGCGUUGUCCGGAAUUAUUGGGCGUAAAGCGCGCGCAGGCGGUCACUUAAGUCCAUCUUAGAAGUGCGGGGCUUAACCCCGUGAUGGGAUGGAAACUGGGAGACUGGAGUAUCGGAGAGGAAAGUGGAAUUCCUAGUGUAGCGGUGAAAUGCGUAGAUAUUAGGAAGAACACCGGUGGCGAAGGCGACUUUCUGGACGAAAACUGACGCUGAGGUACGAAAGCGUGGGUAGCAAACAGG